UACGGGGGGAGCAAGCGUUGUUCGGAUUUACUGGGCGUAAAGGGCGCGUAGGCGGCCAGCACAAGUCAGUUGUGAAAUCUCCGGGCUUAACUCGGAAAGGUCAACUGAUACUGUGCGGCUAGAGUGCAGAAGGGGCAACUGGAAUUCUCGGUGUAGCGGUGAAAUGCGUAGAUAUCGAGAGGAGCACCUGCGGCGAAGGCGGGUUGCUGGGCUGACACUGACGCUGAUGCGCGAAAGCCAGGGGAGCGAACGGG
rnacentral:rRNA from 1 species